rnacentral:sRNA from 1 species
GCUAGGUGUGGUGGUGCAUGCCUAUAAUCCCAGAAACUAGGGAAGCUGAGGCAGGAAGAUUGCAAAUUUGAGGCCAGCUUUAGCAAUGUAGUGAGGACCUAAGCAAGACCUUGUCUCUA